CCGAGUUUACAACUCCCAAACCCAAUGUGAACAUACCUCUGUUGCCUCGGCGGAUCAGCCCGGCUCUGCCCGGUAAACAGGACGCCCGCCGGAGGUACCGCUAAACUCUGUCUUCAGUAUAUUACUUCUGAGUGGAAAACGCAUAAAUAAAUCA
rnacentral:misc_RNA from 1 species